rnacentral:tRNA from 1 species
GCUCCCAUGGCGUAGGUGUCACUGCGCUCGCCUUGCACGCGGGAGACCCGGGUUCGAUUCCCGGCGGGGUCA